rnacentral:rRNA from 1 species
UACGUAGGGGGCAAGCGUUGUCCGGAAUUAUUGGGCGUAAAGAGCUCGUAGGCGGUUUGUCGCGUCUGCCGUGAAAGUCCGGGGCUCAACUCCGGAUCUGCGGUGGGUACGGGCAGACUAGAGUGAUGUAGGGGAGACUGGAAUUCCUGGCGUAGCGGUGAAAUGCGCAGAUAUCAGGAGGAACACCGAUGGCGAAGGCAGGUCUCUGGGCAUUAACUGACGCUGAGGAGCGAAAGCAUGGGGAGCGAACAGG